rnacentral:rRNA from 1 species
GUUAUCCGGGUUGCGGACAGUGUCUGGUGGGUAGUUUGACUGGGGCGGUCUCCUCCUAAAGAGUAACGGAGGAGCACGAAGGUUGGCUAAUCCUGGUCGGACAUCAGGAGGUUAGUGCAAUGGCAUAAGCCAGCUUGACUGCGAGCGUGACGGCGCGAGCAGGUGCGAAAGCAGGUCAUAGUGAUCCGGUGGUUCUGAAUGGAAGGGCCAUCGCUCAACGGAUAAAAGGUACUCCGGGGAUAACAGGCUGAUACCGCCCAAGAGUUCAUAUCGACGGCGGUGUUUGGCACCUCGAUGUCGGCUCAUCACAUCCUGGGGCUGAAGUAGGUCCCAAGGGUAUGGCUGUUCGCCAUUUAAAGUGGUACGCGAGCUGGGUUUAGAACGUCGUGAGACAGUUCGGUCCCUAUCUGCCGUGGGCGCUGGAGAACUGAGGGGGGCUGCUCCUAGUACGAGAGGACCGGAGUGGACGCAUCACUGGUGUUCGGGUUGUCAUGCCAAUGGCACUGCCCGGUAGCUAAAUGCGGAAGAGAUAAGUGCUGAAAGCAUCUAAGCACGAAACUUGCCCCGAGAUGAGUUCUCCCUGACUCCCUGAGAGUCCUGAAGGAACGUUGAAGACGACGACGUUGAUAGGCCGGGUGUGUAAGCGCAGCGAUGCGUUGAGCUAACCGGUACUAAUGAACCGUGAGGCUUAACCUU